GACGAACGCUGGCGGCGUGCCUAACACAUGCAAGUGGAGCGACGAACCGGGCUUCGGCCCGGGGCCAAGCCGCGAACGGGUGAGUAACACGUGGGUAACCUGCCCUGAUGAUUGGGGACAACCCGAGGAAACUCGGGCUAAUACCGAAUGUGCCCUCCGACCAUAAGGUCUGCGGGGAAAGGAGCUUCGGCCUCCGCAUCGGGAUGGGCCCGCGGCGCAUUAGCUUGUUGGUGAGGUAACGGCUCACCAAGGCGACGAUGCGUAGCUGGUCUGAGAGGACGAUCAGCCACACUGGGACUGAGACACGGCCCAGACUCCUACGGGAGGCAGCAGUGGGGAAUCUUGCGCAAUGCGCGAAAGCGUGACGCAGCAACGCCGCGUGGGGAAGAC
rnacentral:rRNA from 1 species